GGCGAGGUGGUCAAGUGGUUAAGCAAUGACACAAAGCACUAAUCCUUUGUGCUCUUCACGCAUGAGUUCAAAUCCCACCCUCGUCA
rnacentral:tRNA from 1 species